rnacentral:rRNA from 1 species
CUACGGGGUGCAGCAGUGGGGAAUAUUGGACAAUGGGGGAAACCCUGAUCCAGCAAUGCCGCGUGUGUGAAGAAGGCCUGCGGGUUGUAAAGCACUUUCGGUUGGGAGGACUGCCUCUAGCACUAAUAUUGUUGGAAGUUGACGUUACCUUCAGAAGAAGCACCGGCUAACUCCGUGCCAGCAGCCGCGGUAAUACGGAGGGUGCAAGCCUUAAUCGGAAUUACUGGGCGUAAAGCGCGCGUAGGCGGCUAGAUCAGUCGGGUGUGAAAGCCCCGGGCUUAACCUGGGAACUGCAUCCGAUACUGUCUAGCUUGAGUACAGGAGAGGAGAGUGGAAUUCCACAUGUAGCGGUGAUAUGCGUAGAUAUGUGGAGGAACACCAAUGGCGAAGGCAGCUCUCUGGCCUGAUACUGACGCUGAGGUGCGAAAGCGUGGGGAGCAAACAGGAUUAGAUACCCUUGUAGUC